rnacentral:misc_RNA from 1 species
ACUUUCAUUACGUCAACAACCAACAUGGAUCCAUCUGUUAUGGAGUACGUGCAAGUCCUUCAACAAAAUGUUGCUGAAUUACACCAAAUGGGGAAAGAAUGGGGCAUGACAGAGGAAGAGAUGUCAGCUUGUAUCGAAAGAGUAUUGAAGGAAGAUGAGAAUGUCGUUGUAACACCCCCACCUACCUUUACAUUGAGGCGCAUCUUACGACGUGUCCCCAUGGCAAUUUUCUUCCUGUUUGUGACCAUUCUGGCCAUCGCGUGUGGAACUUUGGUUCUAUUUUACGUGUAUCCGCCUGCAGAGAAUUAUGUUUCAGGAGCUCUUCAGCCGUAUGGUUACACAAUCUUCAGAGCAGUGCGUCUUGCAACACUUCCUCUUCACCGUUACUUCAAUAUCACGAGUUUGUAUGAUGCUGAGUGUAUUGUUGGUAACCCUUGGUUUGAGGAACCCUCCAUGGACUGCGUCUUUUGUGAGGGUGUGAAAAAUAUCGAAAUUUUAUAUGACACCAAUGACCAAGAGUUGAUAAUGAAAUAUCUUGCAGAUGCCAGACCUAUGGUUUUUCAGGGGUUGGCUGAGACAGUAUCAUUCGAAGAUUUAAGACACCUCUACAGAAAUAAUAAGGAUGUCAUUGAUACUGCUGCUUUCUUCCAAUCCAAUGUGCCAGGAAUGAAGAACAUUCAGGACCUGUUCAAAGAUGAAAUAGAUGAAAAUGUUUUGUACAAGGACAAAACGACCAUUCACUGGUUGACAAAAAACAUCGCCGGCAGUCAGGUGAUGAGGAAGCUGUUUCCUCGGCCAUCUUUUAUUCCUCCUGAUAGUGAGGUGGCCCUGGAGAAGGUGGUUUUUGUGGAUGGACACAAAUCUGAGCACUAUGAGCUGGUGGCAGUGAUUUUACAGCAGGGCUAUUACAUGCAGCUGUCAGGCAGUCGUAAGGUGAUAGUCACACCUACCAAAUCUUGUAGAGAGGUGUGCAGCCCCAUGCAUAUCCUGAUGAAUGAAGGAGAUGUCUGUAUGUAUACGAGAAUUUCUUUUUCUUUUUCAAUGUCAGUAAUCUGCCGUUUUCUUCCUCUUUAUUUUGUAGAACAUAUUAUUUUUUAAUGAAUAUUUUUUAGUUUGUGAGGAAAUAAUGUCUAGAUGUAAAUACUUGUAUUCUCAGGAAAUUCUGAUGCUAUUUUUUCCCCUGAACUUAUGCCCUAUUGAUUUUAUUAAUGCAAUCAUUGUCAUUUUCAUGUGUAGAAUUGUGCAGUGAAGACUACAUGUAUAUUACCUAGAUUGUACAAUCCAUCCAUAGUUUUUAAAGUUUUCUUAAGCCAAUUCUUGCCGAUAAGUCUAUUAAUUAACUAUGCUCUUGCUAAUCUUGUGAUUUGCAUGUCAUUUUCAGUGACCUAUAACCCUGGAAUCUGGAGGGUAGUAAUGAUGCCAAACUUACAGAAUAAGCUCAGCAUUGGUUUUCUGGGGUCCUACUCUUUCAAUGGAUUAAAUCAUGGUGAAAUUAAAAUAGACGAGGAACCCACAACAGCAAAUGGUGGAGAAAAAAGAGAAUAAUUAUAAAUUCCAUAGAAAUUUUUUUUCACAAAUAAAAUUGAAUCCUUAAUUAAGGAGAACAACAUUACAAAUGACAGGAAACAAUUCUAUUUCACAUGAAAUUGGCCAUCAAAUUUGAUUAAAUGAAAUUUUAACUG